rnacentral:tRNA from 1 species
GCCUAGUUAGCUUAGUUGGUAGUGCGUCUGCCUUGUAAGCGCUAGGCCGCGGGUUCGAUUCUCGCCCGGGGUG